rnacentral:rRNA from 1 species
UGUAUUAAAAUUCUUUUUUGUUCAAGCACUGUUUUCUAAGGCUGAAUCUCUUUCUCCCUUCUAGGGAACAUAACUACCCUUUAUUGUGGUUUUUGGUUAUGGGAUCUAGGACUUUUACUUUGAAAAAAUUAGAGUGUUCAAAGCAGGCAUAUUAUCGCUUGAAUACAUUAGCAUGGAAUAAUAAAAUAGGACUAAGUUUCUAUUUUGUUGGCUUCUAGGACCUUAGUAAUGAUUAAUAGGGACAGUUGGGGACGUUAGUAUUUAAUUGU